rnacentral:lncRNA from 10 species
CUGCAACCUCCACCUCCUGGGUUCAAGCGAUUCUCCUGCCUCAGCUUCUCAAGUAGCUGGAAUUACAGGCACCUGCCACAACGCCCGGCUAAUUUUGUACUUUUAGCAGAGAUGAGGUUUCACCAUGUUGAUCUGGCUGGUCUAAAACUUCUGACCUCAAGUGACCUGCCCCCCUCGGCCUCCCAAAGUGCUGAGAUUACAGGCUUAAGCCACCACACCCGGCCUAUUUUAUUUCAUUUUAUUUUUGAGACAGGGUCUUACUCUGUUGCCCAAGCAGGAGUGAGGUAGCGCAAUCAUGGCUCACUGUGGCCUUGACCUCCCCGGGCUCAAGUCCCACCUAGGCCUCCUGGGACGUGCCACCAUGCCCAGCUAAUUUAUUUUGUUUUGUGUUGUUUUGAUAGAGACAGGGUCCCACUAUGUUGCCUAGGCUGAUCUCGAACUCCUGGGCUCAUCCACUUGCCAAUUUCUGGUGACAGUUUAGGUCUUGUUGUCUAUCUUGAUGUGCCAGACAUUACUCAUCCAUGUCAUGUUUGGGGUGACAGAGACUACUGGUCUUGCUUUCUAGUUUGGGGUGACAGUGACUGGGGUCCUUUUGUCCAGUUUGAGCUGACAGUGAUUGGGGUUCAGUUGUCCAUUUGGGGGAGGCAGAGACUGGGAUCAGUGGUCUAGUUUGGGGUGAUGAGACCAGAAGUCAAGGCCCGGCCUUGGGGUAACAGAGAUGGAGAUACAGUUUCCCAGUUCUGGGUGGCAGAGACUUCCUAGUUUGGGGGACAGAGACUUGGGGCAUAGUUGUGCAGCUGGAGGGAUGAGGCUGAGGGGUGCCUGUUUUGACUUGGGGCGGCAGGAGCUGUCAUUUCAGUCCUCUAGUCUGGGGCGCAGAGUCUAGGGUGCUGGUCCCUUCUAAACAUGGCUGAGCCUGAGAGUGCUGAUGCCUGAAUGUUCCUGGGACAACUGAGUCAAGGGUUUCCUGUACUCAGGUGUGGGGUCUCUGAGUGAGUGUGGCCAGCGGUGUGGAGCUUUGUGUGAAGGUCACUGAAGCUAGGAGUCUGGGUAUUUGGAAUGGAGGUGUCAAGAGGUCAGGGCCCCAGGACUCAGGACCCACUUGAGGAGUGCUUCAUGUCUAUGACAUGGAGGGCCAGUGUUUUCAAAGCACCUCCACACCUGUGGGUGGCAGUGAUAGAGACCCCUGGGGGAAGAUGGAGACUGAGGCUCUAAUGCCUGGCCUAGGGGUCGCUGUGGCUGGGGCACAGGUAACCUUGGGAUUUCUGGCCCUGGAGACCCAGCUGCCCUUUACUGGACACAAGAGGAUCCUGUGGGUCUAAAGCCUAGUCUGGACCGGGUGCAGUGGCUCACGCUUGUAAUCCCAGCACUUUGGGAGGCUGAGGCAGGUAGAUCGCCUGAGGUCAAGAGUUUAAGACCAG